UCAGGUAGCCAACACUGGUUUUAUAUAUAUAUAUAUAUUUGAAAUGGGGUAGCCAAAAUAUUGUGACAUAUAAAAAAAGACAACUCUGUUCCGCAGAGUAGCUGUUGACAUUAUAGUUGCGCAGGAACUUUGUUGACUCUAGAGAACCUCGGGCAAAUCGCACAUCCCCGUGGCGGCGACUUUGCAUGCGGAUGUCAUCCAUAUCAACUUUUGAUACUAGUUUCUGCACCUACCAUGGUGACCACUGGUAAAGCGGAAUCAGGGUUCCAUUUCAUACGGGGACCCUGAGAAAUGGCUACCACAUGCAAAGAAGGCAGCAGGCGCGCAAAUGACCCACUCCCGACGCGGGAAGGUAGUGAA